rnacentral:rRNA from 1 species
GAUGAACGCUGGCGGCGUGCCUAAUACAUGCAAGUCGAGCGAACGGACGAGAAGCUUGCUUCUCUGAUGUUAGCGGCGGACGGGUGAGUAACACGUGGAUAACCUACCUAUAAGACUGGGAUAACUUCGGGAAACCGGAGCUAAUACCGGAUAAUAUUUUGAACCGCAUGGUUCAAAAGUGAAAGACGGUCUUGCUGUCACUUAUAGAUGGAUCCGCGCUGCAUUAGCUAGUUGGUAAGGUAACGGCUUACCAAGGCAACGAUGCAUAGCCGACCUGAGAGGGUGAUCGGCCACACUGGAACUGAGACACGGUCCAGACUCCUACGGGAGGCAGCAGUAGGGAAUCUUCCGCAAUGGGCGAAGGCCUGACGGAGCAACGCCGCGUGAGUGAUGAAGGUCUUCGGAUCGUAAAACCCUGUUAUUAGGGAAGAACAUAUGUGUAAGUAACUGUGCACAUCUUGACGGUACCUAAUCAGAAAGCCACGGCUAACUACGUG